UAGGGAGAGAUCGGUUACUGCUAAUAAUUAAAAGUCGCUUUAGGCGACCCUUCCUUG
rnacentral:tRNA from 1 species